UUUAUGCAAGGAAUGAUUGACACAGGGCAUGAGAAUUCUCCCAGGGCUGUCAGGAUUCUAAACUGUUAAAGAGACAGUUCCCCAACUGACACACUGGACCUGAGAGUGAAGCUUGAAAGGUGAAGAUCUGAUCUCUCCUGGACUCCCCUGGACAGCUAGCAAGCAGCCUCUUUUAAUUCCACCAUACAAGGUUGAGAGGACAUAUCCAUACACUCUGGUGGACAGAGUGAAACUUGGAGAAACCCUCUUUUCUCUGAGACAACUGAGAACUCAGCUGGAUCCCUGGACCUGAACCACCAAGUAAUCUCUGUGUGUGAGAAAUCUGUUGGACUUAACCUUAGGAAGCUUAGUAUUCAAUUUGAAGCCUUAUUUUAAGGUUGGUGGGAGAGGAUUCUCAGAGUAGAUCAAGUUCUCCAUGCUUCUACUUCACCAUCUUGGCUCUGCCUCCACAAAAUACUUUACUCAAAACAAUUCUGCAAGAUAGUUUUUUUCAGGUGGUUCAACUUAUUUCAACUGACUGGAAUGGUGUUAUCCUACAACUUCAGUAGCUGCAAUCACUACCAAAUGGCCAGUGACUAUGAAAAUAUAAUAUAUAAUGAGAAACUGGAAUCUUUGUAUAAUUCAGAAAUGCCAUCAUCUGAAGAUAGUAAUUUGUUCUGUGAAACCAAGAGUGAUUGUUUAACUGUCAUAGAGCAACUUGCCCGCAAUUGGUCAAACAACUGUUCCUCUGAAAUGGGGGAAACUUUGGAAGCCUUUGUCAAUAGGACUCGCAUUGCUCUGAAGAGUUAUUGUCCAGUCUUCCAGGGAAAUCAGACAAAUAACAUGCAGACAACAAAAAACAACAUGGAAGAAGGAAUUAAAAAAAUGACAUGCCCUGAAAUAGCUAGGAACUUAUUAGAUAUAUGGAGGGAGUACUGGAAAGAAACAGAAAAUCAAUCAACUAGAAGAGGAGGGGGAAAGAAGAGAAGACGAAGUUUGAAUAAAUGGAAUAAAAUCCUGAGAAGAACUUGCAAGGAGAAAAAAUGUGGAUAUAUUAUUAGUUCAGAUUUUUAAAAUUCUUGGAAUGAUAAGAAUAAUAAGAUCAAAUGUGUAUAUUAAUCCUGAAAAAUACAUUUAAUUUUUAUAAAGAUUAUUUAUAUUUUUAAAACA
rnacentral:lncRNA from 1 species